UAACGGCUCACCAAGGCUUCGAUGGGUAGCUGGUCUGAGAGGACGAUCAGCCACACUGGGACUGAGACACGGCCCAUACUCCUACGGGAGGCAGCAGUGGGGAAUCUUGCGCAAUGCGCGAAAGCGUGACGCAGCAACGCCGCGUGGGGGAAGAAGGCUUUCGGGUUGUAAACCCCUUUCAGUUGGGACGAAGCUUCUUCGGUGAAUAGCCGAACGGAGUGACGGUACCUUCACAAGAAGCACCGGCUAACUACGUGCCAGCAGCCGCGGUAAUACGUAGGGUGCAAGCGUUGUCCGGAAUUAUUGGGCGUAAAGAGCGUGUAGGCGGCCCCAUUAGUCCGCUGUGAAAGUCCAGGGCUCAACCCUGGAAUGCCGGUGGAUACUGUGGGGCUAGAGUCCGGAAGGGGCGAGUGGAAUUCCUGGUGUAGCGGUGAAAUG
rnacentral:rRNA from 1 species